GAUGAACGCUGGCGGACGUGCUUAAUACAUGCAAGUCGAACGAGUUCUGAUUAUUGAAAGGUGCUUGCCUUCUUGAUUUAAUUUUGAACGAGUGGCGGACGGGUGAGUAACACGUGGGUAACCUGCCCUUAAGUGGGGGAUAACAUUUGGAAACAGAUGCUAAUACCGCAUAAAUCCAAGAACCGCAUGGUUCUUGGCUGAAAGAUGGCGUAAGCUAUCGCUUUUGGAUGGACCCGCGGCGUAUUAGCUAGUUGGUGAGGUAACGGCUCACCAAGGCAAUGAUACGUAGCCGAACUGAGAGGUUGAUCGGCCACAUUGGGACUGAGACACGGCCCAAACUCCUACGGGAGGCAGCAGUAGGGAAUCUUCCACAAUGGACGCAAGUCUGAUGGAGCAACGCCGCGUGAGUGAAGAAGGCUUUCGGGUCGUAAAACUCUGUUGUUGGAGAAGAAUGGUCGGCAGAGUAACUGUUGUCGGCGUGACGGUAUCCAACCAGAAAGCCACGGCUAACUACGUGCCAGCAGCCGCGGUAAUACGUAGGUGGCAAGCGUUAUCCGGAUUUAUUGGGCGUAAAGCGAGCGCAGGCGGUUUUUUAAGUCUGAUGUGAAAGCCCUCGGCUUAACCGAGGAAGUGCAUCGGAAACUGGGAAACUUGAGUGCAGAAGAGGACAGUGGAACUCCAUGUGUAGCGGUGAAAUGCGUAGAUAUAUGGAAGAACACCAGUGGCGAAGGCGGCUGUCUGGUCUGUAACUGACGCUGAGGCUCGAAAGCAUGGGUAGCGAACAGG
rnacentral:rRNA from 2 species